CCUACGGGUGGCAGCAGUAGGGAAUAUUGCGCAAUGGGGGAAACCCUGACGCAGCAACGCCGCGUGGAGGAUGAAGGUUUUAGGAUUGUAAACUCCUUUUGUGAGAGAAGAUAAUGACGGUAGCUCACGACAAAGAACCGGCGAACUCCGUGCCAGCGGCCGCGGUAAUACGGCGGGUGCAAGCGUUACUCGGAAUCACUGGGCGUAAAGAGUGCGCAGGCGGGCUUGUAAGUCAGCUCUGAAAUCCAGUGGCUUAACUACAGAACUGCAUAUGAAACUAUGCGUCUAGAGUGUGGGAGAGGUAGGUGGAAUUCUUGGUGUAGGGGUAAAAUCCGUAGAUAUCAAGAGGAAUACUCAUUGCGCCGGCGACCUACUGGACCAUUACUGACGCUCAUGCACGAACGCGUGGGGAGCAAACAGGAUUAGAUACCCCAGUAGUC
rnacentral:rRNA from 1 species